GACAGAGGGUGCAAACGUUGUUCGGAAUUACUGGGCGUAAAGCGCGUGUAGGCGGCUAAGUAAGUCGGGCGUGAAAUCCCACGGCUCAACCGUGGAAGUGCACUCGAAACUGCAUAGCUAGAGUCCUGGAGAGGAAGGUGGAAUGCUUGGUGUAGAGGUGAAAUUCGUAGAUAUCAAGCGGAACACCAGUGGCGAAGGCGACUCUUUGGCCUGAAACUGACGCUGAGGCGCGAAAGCGUGGGGAGCAAACAGG
rnacentral:rRNA from 1 species